AAUGAACGCUGGCGGUAGGCCUAACACAUGCAAGUCGAACGGCAGCACAGUAAGAGCUUGCUCUUAUGGGUUGCGAGUGGCGGACGGGUCAGGAGUACAUCGGAAUCUACUUUUUCGGGGGGCUUAACGUAGGGAAACCUACGCUAAUACCGCAUACGACGUACGGGUGAAAGCAGGGGAUCUUCGGACCUUGCGCGAUUGGAUGAGCCGCUGUUGGAUUAGCUGGUUGGGGGGGUAAAGGCCCAGCAAGUCGCGGAUCCGUAGCCGGACUGGGUGGCUGAUCAGCCACACUGGAACGGGACCACGGUCCAGACUACUGCGAGAGGCAGCAGUCGGGAAUGUUGGACAAUGGGCGCAAACCUGAUCCAGCCAUACCGCGUGUGUGAAGAAGACCUUCGGGUUGUAAAGCCCUUUUGUUGGGUAAGAAAAGCAGCCGCUUAUUACCACGCUGUUCUGACGGUACCCAAUAAAUAAGCACCGGCUAACUUCGUG
rnacentral:rRNA from 1 species